rnacentral:tRNA from 1 species
GGGUCGUUAGCUCAGCUGGAUAGAGCAACGGUCUUCGAAACCGUUGGUCAGGGGUUCGAAUCCCUUACGGCCCGCCA